UACGGAGGGGGCAAGCGUUGUCCGGAAUCAUUGGGCGUAAAGAGCGUGUAGGCGGCCAGAAAAGUCCGCUGUGAAAACUCGAGGCUCAACUUCGAGCUGUCGGUGGAAACUUUCUGGCUAGAGUCCGGAAGAGGAGAAUGGAAUUCCUGGUGUAGCGGUGAAAUGCGCAGAUAUCAGGAGGAACACCGGUGGCGAAGGCGGUUCUCUGGGCAUUACCUGACGCUGAGGAGCGAAAGCGUGGGGAGCAAACAGG
rnacentral:rRNA from 1 species